AUACUCUUUUUGCUGUAAAAAAAAAAUAAAAGAGUAAUACACUGUUAUUUAUUGAAAUUUAGGUUUACUAACAAAAUUUCGUGAAUCAUUCCUAUUUACUAUCUCUGGUACUCUUUAUAAAAAAAAAAACAAAUGCACUGAAAACUUAUUUCUUAUAAAAAUGGAGAGAGAAGAUAAUAAAUCUCAUACAUAACUUUAUAAAUUUCAAUAAAUUUU
rnacentral:lncRNA from 1 species